GAGUGGAGAUUUGAUUUGUGUUUAGUUUGGUUUACUGCACUAGCUCAAGUUUUAUUAAAUCUGCCUUUAACCAACUUAAUCAAAUAUAGACUGCCGAGUUCCUAUGUACUGGGGAUGUUGCCAGUAUUGAAACAACAAAUGGAUGGUGCUAUGGCUCAUGCCCCAAGUUCUCAUCAUGCACGUGUGCGGCCUGCCAUGAUGAAAAUGCGGUUGGAGUUGCAAGGUACCGGGUUGAGAUGUUAGUUAUUGAUGUAUCUGACACCGCCGUGUUCGUUACUUUUGAUGGUGAGAUGAACAAGUUGACCAGUGGUCCUGCUGUAGCAGCGUCCAUGAUAACGUCUGAAAAAUAUUCGUUUUUUUUUUGUUAAUUCGAUUUUAAGGUACUGUCAUCCGAUGCUGAACAUGGUGUCACUUCUGGAGAAGAUCGAAGAAGCCAUGCUCAAACAACCUUAAUCCUAGAAAGACCGGAACUGGAACAUGUGUUUGAAUGAUGGAAAAGAGUCCCUUCCUGAGGUCAAACUUCAUGGUCAACAUGACAUCUUGAUGGAAAAGAGUCUUAUUUGUCCUCAUGUAAUUGAUACAGAUUGGUGUGCUAUUUGAGGUUAAAGACUAUUAGUACUUUUCAAUUCCUUAGUUUUGUGAGAAUAUGCCAUAUGGUCUACCUUAAAUUCCACAGAAUACUGAGUAGACAUCAACUCAUUGAGUUUGAGGUAAGCUGUUAAAUCUUUUCUAU